rnacentral:rRNA from 1 species
CCUACGGGUGGCUGCAGUGGGGAAUAUUGCACAAUGGGCGCAAGCCUGAUGCAGCCAUGCCGCGUGUGUGAAGAAGGCCUUCGGGUUGUAAAGCACUUUCAGCGGGGAGGAAGGCGUUAAGGUUAAUAACCUUGGCGAUUGACGUUACCCGCAGAAGAAGCACCGGCUAACUCCGUGCCAGCAGCCGCGGUAAUACGGAGGGUGCAAGCGUUAAUCGGAAUUACUGGGCGUAAAGCGCACGCAGGCGGUCUGUCAAGUCGGAUGUGAAAUCCCCGGGCUCAACCUGGGAACUGCAUUCGAAACUGGCAGGCUAGAGUCUUGUAGAGGGGGGUAGAAUUCCAGGUGUAGCGGCGAAAUGCGUAGAGAUCUGGAGGAAUACCGGUGGCGAAGGCGGCCCCCUGGACAAAGACUGACGCUCAGGUGCGAAAGCGUGGGGAGCAAACAGGAUUAAAUACCCUUGUAGUC